rnacentral:rRNA from 1 species
CCAUGCAUGUCUCAGUAUAAGCUUCUAUACGGCGAAACUGCGAAUGGCUCAUUAAAACAGUUAUAGUUUAUUUGGUGGUCAACUCUUACAUGGAUAACCGUGGUAAUUCUAGAGCUAAUACAUGCGCCCAAACCCAACUUCUUGGAAGGGUUGUGUUUAUUAGAUACAGAACCAACCCAGGCUCCGCCUGGCCUUGAGGUGAUUCACAAUAACCGAACGAAUCGCAUAGCUGCCGCUGGCGAUAGACCAUUCAAGUUUCUGACCUAUCAGCUAUCGUCGGUAGGGUAUUGGCCUACCGUGGCAAUGACGGGUAACGGAGAAUUAGGGUUCGAUUCCGGAGAGGGAGCCUGAGAAACGGCUACCACAUCUAAGGAAGGCAGCAGGCGCGCAAAUUACCCAAUCCUGACGCAGGGAGGUAGUGACAAGAAAUAACAAUACAGGGCAUAUCUGUCUUGUAAUUGGAAUGAGUAAACUUUAAAUCACUUUACGAGUAUCAAUUGGA